rnacentral:rRNA from 1 species
AUUGAACGCUGGCGGCAGGCCUAACACAUGCAAGUCGAGCGAGCGGCGGACGGGUGAGUAAUGUAUGGGAAACUGCCCGAUGGAGGGGGAUAACUACUGGAAACGGUAGCUAAUACCGCAUACCAUCAGAUGUACCCAGAUGGGAUUAGCUAGUUGGUGGGGUAAUGGCCUACCAAGGCGACGAUCCGUAGCUGGUCUGAGAGGAUGAUCAGUCACACUGGGACUGAGACACGGCCCAGACUCCUACGGGAGGCAGCAGUGGGGAAUAUUGGACAAUGGGCGAAAGCCUGAUGCAGCCAUGCCGCGUGUAUGAAGAAGGUCUUCGGAUUGUAAAGCACUUUAAGUUGGGAGGCGUUACCAACAGAAUAAGCACCGGCUAACUUCGUGCCAGCAGCCGCGGUAAUUC